CACGUAGGGACCAAGCGUUGUCCGGAUUCAUUGGGCGUAAAGAGCUCGUAGGCGGUUCGAUAAGUCGGGUGUGAAACCUCCAGGCUCAACCUGGAGACGCCACCCGAUACUGUCGUGACUAGAGUCCAGUAGGGGAGCGUGGAAUUCCUGGUGUAGCGGUGAAAUGCGCAGAUAUCAGGAGGAACACCAGCGGCGAAGGCGGCGCUCUGGGCUGGAACUGACGCUGAAGAGCGAAAGCGUGGGGAGCGAACAGG
rnacentral:rRNA from 1 species